GACGAACGCUGGCGGCGUGCUUAACACAUGCAAGUCGAACGGAAAGGCCCUGCUUGCAGGGUACUCGAGUGGCGAACGGGUGAGUAACACGUGGGUGAUCUGCCCUGCACUUCGGGAUAAGCUUGGGAAACUGGGUCUAAUACCGGAUAGGAGCCAUCUUUAGUGUGGUGGUUGGAAAGUUUUUUCGGUGUAGGAUGAGCUCGCGGCCUAUCAGCUUGUUGGUGGGGUAAUGGCCUACCAAGGCGGCGACGGGUAGCCGGCCUGAGAGGGUGUACGGUCACAUUGGGACUGAGAUACGGCCCAGACUCCUACGGGAGGCAGCAGUGGGGAAUAUUGCACAAUGGGCGCAAGCCUGAGGCAGCGACGCCGCGUGGGGGAUGAAGGCCUUCGGGUUGUAAACUCCUUUCGCUAGGGACGAAGCUUUUUUGUGACGGUACCUAGAUAAGAAGCACCGGCUAACUACGUG
rnacentral:rRNA from 1 species